AACGAACGCUGGCGGCAGGCUUAACACAUGCAAGUCGAACGCAUCGCAAGAUGAGUGGCAGACGGGUGAGUAACGCGUGGGAACAUACCCUUUUCUACGGAAUAGCUCUGGGAAACUGGAAUUAAUACCGUAUACGCCCUACGGGGGAAAGAUUUAUCGGGGAAGGAUUGGCCCGCGUUGGAUUAGCUAGUUGGUGGGGUAAAGGCCUACCAAGGCGACGAUCCAUAGCUGGUCUGAGAGGAUGAUCAGCCACAUUGGGACUGAGACACGGCCCAAACUCCUACGGGAGGCAGCAGUGGGGAAUACUGGACAAUGGGCGCAAGCCUGAUCCAGCCAUGCCGCGUGAGUGAUGAAGGCCUUAGGGUUGUAAAGCUCUUUCACCGAUGAAGAUAAUGACGGUACCGGGAGAAUAAGCUCCGGCUAACUCCGUGCCAGCCGCCGCGGUAA
rnacentral:rRNA from 1 species